rnacentral:siRNA from 1 species
CUACUUUCAGAGAUCGGUCGC